CUCUUGACAUCCAGCGAACUUUCCAGAGAUGGAUUGGUGCCUUCGGGAACGCUGAGACAGGUGCUGCAUGGCUGUCGUCAGCUCGUGUUGUGAAAUGUUGGGUUAAGUCCGCAACGAGCGCAACCCCUUUAUCCUUUGUUGCCAGCGAUUCGGUCGGGAACUCAAAGGAGACUGCCGGUGAUAAACCGGAGGAAGGUGGGGAUGACGUCAAGUCAUCAUGGCCCUUACGAGUAGGGCUACACACGUGCUACAAUGGCGCAUACAAAGAGAAGCGACCUCGCGAGAGCAAGCGGACCUCAUAAAGUGCGUCGUAGUCCGGAUCGGAGUCUGCAACUCGACUCCGUGAAGUCGGAAUCGCUAGUAAUCGUGGAUCAGAAUGCCACGGUGAAUACGUUCCCGGGCCUUGUACACACCGCCCGUCACACCAUGGGAGUGGGUUGCAAAAGAAGUAGGUAGCUUAACCCUCGGGAGGGCGCUUACCACUUUGUGAUUCAUGGCUGGGGUGAAGUCGUAACAAGGUAAGCGUACGUGU
rnacentral:rRNA from 1 species